rnacentral:tRNA from 1 species
AUUGGGGUGGCAGAGCCAGGUAUAAAUGCAAAAGGCCUAAACCCUUUACCCAGGGGUUCAAUCCCCCUUCCCAAUAAUU